CAAUUUAUGACCUAUUGUUUUUCAGUCGAACUGGUUCUUUGACCCAGAGGUAGAGGGAAAGCCCAUCCCAGUAGAUCCAACUGACAUCGACCCUGUCACAAGUAUCACCCAGCUACUGAACGGGGGAGGGGGAGGGCGUGUAGAGGAGGUGGAGGUCAGGUCAUCAACCAUAGGAGAUUCAACCGCUGACAACUCGGCAGACCCAAAGACGAUUUGCUCGGCAGACGCCCACAUCCAAGAAAUAGUGCGGACCAUCGUCGGCGCAGC